AAACACCUUUAAAAAGACCUGGAAGUACCGGUGAGUGACUGCGCUGGUAACUUUUGCUCUCCCCCCUCAUUGAGAUGGCUCCCUGUCUGUUGCGCUUCCUUGCAAUGUCCGUCCUCCACCGUUCCCGUUGAGGGUAUUCCUGCUCUUUGCCAGCUCAGUACGGAUCUUUGACUUCGCCGCCAUUGUCUCUGGAGCGGGUGCAUGUAGCCUGGUUGACUGGAGGGCCGGACUUCACGG